rnacentral:rRNA from 1 species
UGAGGAAUAUUGGUCAAUGGGGGCAACCCUGAACCAGCCAAGUCGCGUGAAGGAUGAAGGUCUUAUGGAUUGUAAACUUCUUUUAUACAGGAAUAAAUUGGGGGACGUGUCCCCUUUUGCAUGUACUGUAUGAAUAAGGAUCGGCUAACUCCGUGCCAGCAGCCGCGGUAAUACGUAGGUGGCGAGCGUUGUCCGGAAUCACUGGGCGUAAAGGGCGCGUAGGCGGUUUGACAAGUCGCAUGUGAAAUACCAGGGCUCAACUCUGGGGGGUCAUGCGAAACUGUUGGACUUGAGUGUAGUAGAGNAAAGCGGAAUUCCUGGUGUAGCGGUAAAAUGCGUAGAGAUCAGGAGGAACACCGGUGGCGAAGGCGGCUUUCUGGGCUAUAACUGACGCUGAGGCGCGAAAGCGUGGGGAGCAAACA